rnacentral:rRNA from 1 species
UAUUUUAUUUGGUUGCUCAGUACAGUAGUCAUACUCUCAUAUCAAAGAUCAAGCCAGGCAAGUGUAAGUAUAAAUUUUUUUCUUUGAAACAGCGAAUGGUUCAUUAUAUCAGUUAUAGUUUAUAAGAGGAAAUGUCUUGGUUGGAUAUCGGUAGUAUUUGUAGAAUUAAUGCAUGAUCAAUUCCUUGACUUUGAGGAGGGGUUUUUAUUAGAAAAAACACCAAUAGUCUCAGUAUAUUGGGGAGUAAUAAUAACUCGUCAUAUCGCAUGUUUAGGUAGCGAUGUGUCUCCAAAGUUUCCCCCCUCUCAGCUUUCGAGGGUAGUGUAGGGGUCUCCCAGGCCAGAAGGGGGAAGAGAAGAAUUGGGGUUCGAUUUGGGAGGGGGAGCGUGAGAGGGGUCUCCCACACCCAAGGAAGCCAGCGGGCGCGUAAAUUCCCCAAUCCUCACACAGGGAGGUAGACACAAUAACUCACAAUGCGGCUUUUUAGUUUUGCAAUUGGAUUGAGAACAAUGCACAACAGUUAUCGAUAAACAAUUGGAGGGCAAGUCUGGUGCCAGCAGCCGCGGUAACCAUUUCCCCAUUG